rnacentral:sRNA from 1 species
CGCAUCUCAGACGCUUUCUAUCUGGCGAUUGAGAAACUGACAGGCCCAAUGAGCUCUCCAAUCGUGCCUCGAAAUGAGGCCGGAGAGCCGGUAACCUGAGAUCGGCCUAAGAUAUCGAGAUAGAAAGUUAGAUUGAUUGUUAAGUGAUGGAAUAUUGAAUCUCAGACCUCUCCCUGGAACAGAACAGAAAUCUCGGAAAGUAUUACGUGCUCUCUCCUCUAUCUAAGUAAGAGAAAGAGGAAGGUCCAAUCAUGCUACUUUGAGAAAGAUGCUUAACACAUGCAAGUCGAUCAGUUCGCCCUUAAGAAAUAGGCAACAUCGGUUCGAAUCCGAUAAAGAAAGGGCUUUUUCCUUUUUUUCGGUAUGCCGCUCCGCCAGCAAGGAGUGCCACGGACGAGCGGAGCAAAUUAGAAAAAAAUAAAAAAUAAAAAAGGCAACGCUAUGGCAAUUACUAGAACUAAGGUUCAUUGUUCGAAAGAUUCCGAAUGGAUUCGUCGUCAUUCUUUAGCUGUAGCUAUCUUUUUUUCAAUGCUUGCAGUCUUCUAUUGUCUAUUUCUCAUGCUGGAUUCAAUUGACGUAUUUAAAACUAUGUUUCAUAAGCUUGCUUUAUCAGUCGGCAAUCAAGCCUUCUCGAGGCUCUUGCUUAAGAGUGGCUGCUCCGUUGGUCUGACCUUGGCCAGAUGUUUGGAUUCGUUGUCAGAAUGGCCUUCCUCGCUACCGAGGACACGACUUUGAUGAGCAAGAAUAUGAUGGAUAACCACCUUGGCUGGACAUCGAUCUUCGGAACCAGCUCUGGCGGAAACUCGGUGGGCUCGUCCGAUUCCGAAGCGAGCGUAAAUCAACCGGCGCCCGACUCCCCGGAGCCGGAGUUGCCCCUGAGGUUGAUCAGCCAGAUGGAGGUGGGCCCCUCAUUCCUGAGCUUCCCAAUCACUUAAUUCCCAUUGAGGAGCGUCUGAGGGAGUUGGGCCAUCGCCUCUCAACCAAUUCUCUUUGCAAAAACUAGACCCCCCAGGAAUGGGGCAGCAUCAUAGCUGCGCAGGCAGUUGUAGAAGAAAGGAUCGAAGCCGCUUUAGUUCGCGAUGGCUUUAAUGCCCAAGCAGCCAUUUUGGCCAAAGGCCACCAGGUAAGGGGCUUUUUGUUCUAUUCAGAGGGAACUAGUUUCACCGAACAAACUUACCUAAAUUCUGUAAAAAGUAUAGACAGCCAUGGUACUCGCGCCUGUGUUCCAUACAAGCGAGUCAUCCAAGCGAUACGGCAACAUAAUUUAUCCCUUUAAGGGGCUCGCAGAAUACUUCAGUGCAGUAGGACAGAUAAGUUAGCGGUAGGGGUCUUUCCUCUCCGUUACCUUGUUGGGUCAACCAAUUGCAUUACUUCUUUCGGAAGCUUAUUUAUGUAUUUAUGUGGGAUUCUUUCUGAAAAAGCAUUCUAGUUGUGCUUUACCUUUCUCCGCUCUCCCCGGAUGUGAGAAAGAUUCUUCCUAUGAAUCUCGACCAAGACCAGCCCUUUCUCCUAUAGACCUUCAGAUGAGAGAGAGCACUUCUUCGGGCGGAUAGGAGGUUAGUUCUGGUUCAAAAGAGGACGACAAGGAUUUUCGUCGAAAGAGAUGAGCGAACUUCAUCAGGCUAGCUGGCUGGAGACGAAACCGAAUCAGACAGGAAAGGAGUCUCGGGUGGCGGAUCCCGGGUUAGCCUCGUAUUAGCGGAAUGAUAGCCCGAGGAAGAUCGCAACCGCCUGUGCAACAGCAACAGCGUCAAGCUUGGCAUGAUAGGCAGUUACGUCAGAAAGCAAUUGGAAAAGGCUGCUUAACAAAUUUGACUUAGCGCCUGGAAAGCUUCAAACCAAGUGGUUAGAACCAUACAGGACACAUAAUGGCGCAGUUCGGUUAUGACGAUUUACAGGGUAAUUUUCUUUAUUUAGAUAGGGGCACCAGUGAAUCCUUUAAAGGUAUUGGACUAAAACAGAUAAUCCGGUACGAGUAAUUACUACUGAUUUCAGUCAUAAAUCCAUAGUAGAUCCAGAUGACCCGAUAGACUGUCCACACGACAAGUGUCCGUUUAUCGUUACGGUUUCCUUAGAAAGUGGAAAAGGAAGACCAAAAGAAGCAAUACAAGAGAAAGAAAGGGAAAUAUGGAUCUCUGUUCGGGUCUCUCCUUCAUUUCAUGGCAUGGCUCCGAAAUGGGGUCUGCGGGCCGGCAACCUGAUCGACCUAAGAUCUACUUUCAAAGAGAACGAACGCAACUACAUUUAUUAAUUAAGGCUUCUCUCUUCAGAGGUAGAUAGUUGAUCGAGGAGAAGGCAGGUGCCUAGCCACGAGUAAGCCUAAAGGUAAAGGAUUUCGCGAAGCCGGUUAACAAUCACUUUUAUUCUCAGGCUAAGAUCUUCACUACCUUUUUGGCAGAGCUGCCAAGCUUCCUAUUCGUAUUCGUACAGUUAAGAAAGCAGAAAAGCAUUCGAACUUGAAACGAGAGAUGGGAAAGAAAGCUUACCUUAAAAGAGCGGCCACGCCAAGACCUUACUUAAUAGGAUGAUGCUUGAACUUUAUUCUAAAAAAAGGGGGAGUACCCGAGGGAAUAAGCCAAGGCAAGUGCCAUAGAUUUAGCUGUUGUCGGAAGUGGCAAGUAGUUUUUUAAGGAAAGGGGAGGAGUGCCGGUUAAAUGGUUUAGGUUAGGAGUGCCAGCUCAAGGCGAUAGGCAUAGUGGAAAAAGGCUACGCACCUGAAUCUGUUCACACGAAUUGCUCAAGGUUGGAGGAAAAAGCACUUGUUUAAUCUAAUCUCCUGUCGAAAUGGUAGAUGGGAUCGAUCCCAGACUCGGUGAAAGGCGAGAAAGACCAGGCAAGCUCCAUUGGCUUGGUUAAAUACCUUCACGCUCUUUAGUUCAUCUCGGUAGAACAAGGAAAAAAAAGCCUAUGUAGUGGAUUCGAGUCCCACAAGAGCGAAGGAUGACGACUGAUUCCAUUGCCCUCUCUACUCAAUGGAUUGAAUAUAGUUGCGUAAAGCAGCAUAAGCGCUAACCUGAUCUAAGGAAAGAGGGGGAACGUGAAAGCAAGGCUAUUCCGGGGCGUCAAGCGUCUGUAGGCUUAUCAGCCAUGAAGUAAGCAUAAGCGGGAAUAGGCUAAAAGGACGGUUAGAAGGCAUCUGGAGGACCAGUUUUCGGCUGGUCAUAACAAUAACUAACUCUUAGGUAUUUUAUUUUAUAGGGGGAUGAGACUCCUGGUUCAACCAAUCAAUCUCUGAAGUGCAGGUGCUUUGAUGGAGAGGGGGUUACUACUCGACUAAUAAGUGUUGGAUUGGAGGGGAACUUCUUUAUCUUCCCCAACCGGGAAAGUCAUGCUAGGGGAAGAAGUAGCUACGGUAAACUCGAAACUCUCUUUCUUCUUUCACUCAUAGCUAUCUGACUGUGAGGAUUCCCCCUUGUAUUCCCCAUAGGCUAGGAAAAUUUAGAGGCUCCACUACAAGUCUUGGAGCUAGGCAGCUCAGUAUGGUAUGAGGAUCGAAGGGCAUAAAUCGAAGCUAACAAUGGGGACUAGUUGUUGAAUUCCUUUAGUAGGAAUGACUAGCUCCGACCUUAAGGAAUAGGUCCGAAGAUGCGACUAGAACUGAAAGAAGAGGAAGGUUUUUCCUGGGUAGGACGGAGGGUAUUCGACCGAAGCCUUAAAAGUUUCCACACCUGAGGGUGCAUCAACCUCUUUUCUUUCAUCACAAGAAAGGUUUGUUUGGAGGGGACAAGCGAGGCUAAAGGGUUAGGGGAGGAGUGGAAGAGAGACUUUCCCUUAGAUAGGAGAGCUCGCCUAAGCAGUGUUGGAGCGAAGGCUGCUCGACUAGACUAAUUGGGAAAAAGGAGGGGGGACACAGCUACCUUUAGGGUAGGGAGACAUAGCUACUUUUUGAAUAAAUUCUCGAAGUGACAAGGAAUGGUAUCGACAGAGUGGAAGGGCCUGUGCUCAAUAAACCACUCACCCACGCUAGGGCUAAGACUGAAAGUCGCUCUUCUGAUUCAUCCUGUCUUUCAAGGAGAGGAGUUUAAGGAGCUAGUAUAGGUUCGAAGAGUUGCUGCGAGUAACUUAACUUCAUCAAGCCAGGAAAGAAGCUCGACAAAGCCUGUGCGGGGGUAGGGGCGGAGAGGAAAGCUUCUGAUAAUAUACUUUUGAGGUGGCAUCAAUACCAGAGAAGAGAGUAGGAAUCCCCUCUUAUGUAAUUUCCCUCCUUCCGAUUCCGAUUCCGAGUCCGAGAAAAAGUCUUCGGUGGGGAAGACUCCUGCCUGGAGGCAUUAAGGUUUGUUUAGUUUUAGUUUAGGCUGCUAAAGACUGACUUGCCCCAACAGCCGUAGCUAAAGGCUUAACCCAUUGUUGAGUACCCAGAUUCUUCAACCCCGACCUCAAGAGAAUCCGGGGAAAGCUCCAUAUCAAAAUAAGCUUGACCGGUAGCGGUAGGGGUUUGGGAUAUCUUCUUAGUUUGGGGCUAAGGCCUGUAGCUAUCGGAG